rnacentral:rRNA from 1 species
GCGUUAUCCGGAUUUACUGGGCGUAAAGCGAGCGCAGGCGGAUUUGCAAGUCUGGUGUUAAAUACUGUUGCUUAACGAUAGUAUGCAUUGGAAACUGCAAGUCUAGAGUAUAGUAGGGAGUUUUGGAACUCCAUGUGGAGCGGUGGAAUGCGUAGAUAUAUGGAAGAACACCAGUGGCGAAGGCGAAAACUUAGGCUAUCACUGACGCUUAGGCUCGAAAGUGUGGGGAGCAAAUAGGAUUAGAUACCCUAGUAGUCCACACCGUAAACGAUGGUAAUUAAAUGUCGGCACGGAAUGUGUCGGUGUUGCAGUUAACACAUUAAAUUACCCGCCUGGGUAGUACAUUCGCAAGAAUGAAACUCAAACGGAAUUGACGGGGACCCGCACAAGUGGUGGAGCAUGUUGCUUAAUUCGACAAUACACGUAAAACCUUACCUAGGUUUGACAUCUUCUGCAAAGCUAUAGAGAUAUAGUGGAGGUUAACAGAAUGACAGGUGGUGCAUGGUUGUCGUCAGCUCGUGUCGUGAGAUGUUGGGUUAAGUCCCGCAACGAGCGCAACCCUUAUCGUUAGUUACUUUAUCUAGCGAGACUGCCAGCGUAAGCUGGAGGAAGGUGGGGAUGACGUCAAAUCAUCAUGCCCCUUAUAUCUAGGGCCGCAAACGUGCUACAAUGGUCAGUACAAACUGUUGCAAACCAGUAAUGGGGAGCUAAUCAGAGAAAGCUGAUCUCAGUUCGGAUUGAGGGCUGCAAUUCGCCCUCAUGAAGUUGGAAUCACUAGUAAUCGCGAAUCAGACAUGUCGCGGUGAAUACGUUCUCGGGUCUUGUACACACCGCCCGUCAAACUAUGAGAGCUGGUAAUACCUAAAACCGUUAAGAUAACCUCGUGAGUCUUGCGUCUAGGGUAGGACUGGUGAUUGGAGUUAAGUCGUAACAAGGUACCCCUACGGGAAUGUGGGGGUG